GAUCAUGGCUCAGGAUGAACGCUGGCGGCGUGCCUAAUACAUGCAAGUAGAACGCUGAAGGAAGGAGCUUGCUCUUUCCGGAUGAGUUGCGAACGGGUGAGUAACGCGUAGGUAACCUGCCUGGUAGCGGGGGAUAACUAUUGGAAACGAUAGCUAAUACCGCAUAACAGUAGAUGUUGCAUGAUAUCUACUUAAAAGGUGCAAUUGCACCACUACCAGAUGGACCUGCGUUG
rnacentral:rRNA from 1 species